rnacentral:rRNA from 1 species
AGAGUUUGAUCAUGGCUCAGAUUGAACGCUGGCGGUAUGCUUUACACAUGCAAGUCGAACGGAUUAAGAAGCUUGCUUCUUAGUUAGUGGCGAACGGGUGAGUAAUAUAUCGGAACAUAUCCGGAAGUGGGGGAUAACGUAGCGAAAGUUACGCUAAUACCGCAUAUGCCCUGAGGGGGAAAGGGGGGGAUCGCAAGACCUCUCGCUUUCGGAGUGGUCGAUAUCGGAUUAGCUAGUAGGUGAGGUAAAGGCUCACCUAGGCGACGAUCCGUAGCUGGUCUGAGAGGACGACCAGCCACACUGGAACUGAGACACGGUCCAGACUCCUACGGGAGGCAGCAGUGGGGAAUUUUGGACAAUGGGCGAAAGCCUGAUCCAGCCAUACCGCGUGAGUGAAGAAGGCCUUCGGGUUGUAAAGCUCUUUCAGACGGAAAGAAAAGGUUUCGGAUAAUACCUGGAACUGAUGACGGUA